AUCCAGCUGAUGAGUCCCAAAUAAGGCGAAACGCGGGUCAAACUUGAU
rnacentral:hammerhead_ribozyme from 1 species